rnacentral:rRNA from 1 species
UACGAAGGGUGCAAACGUUGCUCGGAAUCAUUGGGCGUAAAGCGCACGUAGGCGGCUUCGCAAGUCGGAUGUGAAAUCCCACGGCUCAACCAUGGACGUGCAUCCGAAACUGUGAGGCUUGAGUAUGGAAGAGGGUCGCGGAAUUCCCGGUGUAGAGGUGAAAUUCGUAGAUAUCGGGAGGAACACCAGUGGCGAAGGCGGCGACCUGGGCCAAUACUGACGCUGAGGUGCGAAAGCGUGGGGAGCAAACAGGG